rnacentral:rRNA from 1 species
AACGAACGCUGGCGGCAUGCCUAACACAUGCAAGUCGAACGAGACCUUCGGGUCUAGUGGCGCACGGGUGCGUAACGCGUGGGAACCUGCCUUUAGGUUCGGAAUAACUCAGAGAAAUUUGAGCUAAUACCGGAUAAUGUCUUCGGACCAAAGAUUUAUCGCCUUUAGAUGGGCCCGCGUUGGAUUAGCUAGUUGGUGGGGUAAAGGCCUACCAAGCCGACGAUCCAUAGCUGGUUUGAGAGGAUGAUCAGCCACACUGGGACUGAGACACGGCCAGACUCCUACGGGAGGCAGCAGUGGGGAAU